UGCCAUAGCUCAGUUGGUAGAGCAAGGGACUGAAAAUCCUUGUGUCCCCGGUUCGAUUCCUGGUGGCAC
rnacentral:tRNA from 1 species